GGUAGCUUGCUACUUAACCUAGCGGCGGACGGGUGAGUAAUGCUUAGGAAUCUGCCUAUUAGUGGGGGACAACAUCUCGAAAGGGAUGCUAAUACCGCAUACGUCCUACGGGAGAAAGCAGGGGACCUUCGGGCCUUGCGCUAAUAGAUGAGCCUAAGUCGGAUUAGCUAGUUGGUGGGGUAAAGGCCUACCAAGGCGACGAUCUGUAGCGGGUCUGAGAGGAUGAUCCGCCACACUGGGACUGAGACACGGCCCAGACUCCUACGGGAGGCAGCAGUGGGGAAUAUUGGACAAUGGGGGGAACCCUGAUCCAGCCAUGCCGCGUGUGUGAAGAAGGCCUUUUGGUUGUAAAGCACUUUAAGCGAGGAGGAGGCUACCGAGAUUAAUACUCUUGGAUAGUGGACGUUACUCGCAGAAUAAGCACCGGCUAACUCUGUGCCAGCAGCCGCGGUAAUACAGAGGGUGCAAGCGUUAAUCGGAUUUACUGGGCGUAAAGCGCGCGUAGGUGGCCAAUUAAGUCAAAUGUGAAAUCCCCGAGCUUAACUUGGGAAUUGCAUUCGAUACUGGUUGGCUAGAGUAUGGGAGAGGAUGGUAGAAUUCCAGGUGUAGCGGUGAAAUGCGUAGAGAUCUGGAGGAAUACCGAUGGCGAAGGCAGCCAUCUGGCCUAAUACUGACACUGAGGUGCGAAAGCAUGGGGAGCAAACAGGAUUAGAUACCCUGGUAGUCCAUGCCGUAAACGAUGUCUACUAGCCGUUGGGG
rnacentral:rRNA from 1 species